rnacentral:rRNA from 1 species
UACGUAGGGUGCAAGCGUUUAAUCGGAAUUACUGGGCGUAAAGCGUGCGCAGGCGGUUUUGUAAGUCUGUCGUGAAAUCCCCGGGCUCAACCUGGGAAUUGCGAUGGAGACUGCAAGGCUAGAAUCUGGCAGAGGGGGGGUAGAAUUCCACGUGUAGCAGUUGAAAUUCGUAGAUAUCGGGGAGGAACACCGGUGGCGAAGGCGGCGACCUGGGGUAGAUACUGACGCUGAGGUGCGAAAGCGUGGGGAGCAAACAGG